GCAAUCUUGGGAGACCCAUCAUGAAAAUAAUUCCAGCAGACAACAGUGCCUUCUUUGCCCCAUUCACCUUCAUGCAGUUCGCAACCUUGAAUCUUUUCAGGGCUCAUAAUGGAUACAUGGUGUGGUCUGCAGCUGAAGACAUCAUGAAACUGAUCUGCAGGAGCAUUCACCUCUACAUCUGCCUCCAAUUUCCCUAAGAGGGCCAUUAUUUUUCCAGAAAAAGAAAAAGUUUCUGGUGAUGCUUAGAUACUAAUCAAGACCAG
rnacentral:misc_RNA from 1 species